rfam:Schistosoma margrebowiei strain Zambia genome assembly, scaffold: SMRZ_contig0003519
AGUGACUUAGUGAAUAAUGCAACUAACUUUAAACCAGUAGGUUACAGGUUCGAAUCCUUUAUUUACUU